rnacentral:misc_RNA from 1 species
UUGUGGAGGAGGACGCCGAAGGUGGGGCUAAUGACUGGGGUGAAGUCGUAACAAGGUAGCCGUACCCGGAAGGUGCGGCUGGAUCACCUCCUAACAGGGAGACAACAAAAUGUUUAAUAUUAUUAUUUUGUCACCUUAGGUCGAUCGGUAUCUCACGUUUUUAAUUUAUUAAGAAUUUCAUUUCCUAAGUUUUUCUAGGUCACACCCAUUAUUUUUCCUGGGCCAUUAGCUCAGGUGGUUAGAGCGCACCCCUGAUAAGGGUGAGGUCCCUGGUUCAAGUCCAGGAUGGCCCAUAUCUCUAUGUUGGGGGUAUAGCUCAGUUGGUAGAGCGCCUGCUUUGCAAGCAGGAUGUCAGCGGUUCGAGUCCGCUUACCUCCACUGAUCACCACCUCUUCCAUAAUCGGUAGAAAGGAAAUUUUUUGAGUUGUGAUCAAAUUCUGAAAGAAUCUAGCUUCCUAAUGAAAUCAUUAAGAUGCUGGACUCAUUGAAUUAAUUUCAUUGUUUUCAGAGAACCUUGACAACUGCAUAGAUUAUUUUUAAAGACAAUAAGCAUCUUUAAUGAUGCAGAUUUAUUAUUUGUGCAAAUGCAUUAAUAACAAUUCUAUUAAGCUGAUGCUUCAAUAUUGAAGUUAUUGGUCAAGCUACAA